CAAAUACUCCCUCCGUCCGGAAAUACUUGUCAUCAAAAUGGAUAAAAGGAAAUGUAUCUAGACGUAUUUUAGUUUUAGAUACAUCUAUUUUUAUCCAUUUUGAUGACAAGUAUUUUCGGAUGGAGGGAGUAGAAA
rfam:Triticum aestivum genome assembly, contig: Triticum_aestivum_CS42_TGACv1_scaffold_500941_6BL